AGCGAACGCUGGCGGCAGGCCUAACACAUGCAAGUCGAACGAACUCUUCGGAGUUAGUGGCGGACGGGUGAGUAACACGUGGGAACGUGCCUUUAGGUUCGGAAUAACUCAGGGAAACUUGUGCUAAUACCGAAUGUGCCCUUCGGGGGAAAGAUUUAUCGCCUUUAGAGCGGCCCGCGUCUGAUUAGCUAGUUGGUGAGGUAAAGGCUCACCAAGGCGACGAUCAGUAGCUGGUCUGAGAGGAUGAUCAGCCACAUUGGGACUGAGACACGGCCCAAACUCCUACGGGAGGCAGCAGUGGGGAAUCUUGCGCAAUGGGCGAAAGCCUGACGCAGCCAUGCCGCGUGAAUGAUGAAGGUCUUAGGAUUGUAAAAUUCUUUCACCGGGGACGAUAAUGACGGUACCCGGAGAAGAAGCCCCGACUAACUUCGUG
rnacentral:rRNA from 1 species